UACGGAGGGGGCUAGCGUUGUUCGGAAUUACUGGGCGUAAAGCGCACGUAGGCGGCUUUGUAAGUUAGAGGUGAAAGCCCAGGGCUUAACCCUGGAAUUGCCUUUAAGACUGCAUCGCUAGAAUUGUGGAGAGGUAAGUGGAAUUCCGAAGUGUAGAGGUGAAAUUCGUAGAUAUUCGGAAGAACACCAGUGGCGAAGGCGGCUACACUGG
rnacentral:rRNA from 1 species